rnacentral:misc_RNA from 1 species
GUUCCAACACUAAACGCUCCUCUAGUGCUAAACAUGCAACGACUUUCUAGAAUAGCUAUUGUUAUCGGAGUGUUUUCUUUGGCUCCUCUUAUUUCGGGCAAGGCUAAGAACCAGCUUCAGCCCGAAUUUCCAGAUGUGAAAAAGGUUUUCGAGGGGUUUCGGGCCGGUCUUGCACUCUCCGACAUUGACAACGACGGUGACCUUGACUGUGUAACGACUACGCAACAGGAUUACGAUGCCAGCGUGCCAAGUGUAACAUACGUUUGGCAUCUCCAGGCCCUAAACGGACACGAAGCGCGAAAUAUUUACUUCUAUGUCCGACCCGGCGAUGGCCCUGGCCAGAUCCUCUUCAAGGACAAUGGUGAAUAUAUUGCUGCAGUCAAGAAAAAACGCAUUCUAUAACUAAAUGUUGUUAUUAAAGAAAUAAACAAGGAAACCAGAAAAAUGGCGCUGCCCAAUAGCAUCUGAUUGAAUGAUUGAUGGGCCUCUUCAAGAGGGUACAGUGUUAUACUCUGACUACAAGGACUGCGUUGUGCUGGAUUUGCCUUACGGAAAUUAUCAAGAAUGCAUGUUGUGGAUAUCUUGGGAAGCAAAGAACAACGUUCCUCAGCGAUGUACAGACGAAUAUGAAGACAAGUGCGAAGACGCUAAAGAAGCAUUUGAUGAUGAGACUUGUAGCCCUUUUUUGAAAGUCAGUUGAUCAUAGGAUUGUUAUAACAAUGACACAUGAAGAUUAUUCAUUGCACUACAGCACGUCGCUUGGUUAAUCUGUCCAAAAUAGGUUUCUCACGCUUUCAUUGCGUCUAGCAAAGUGCGCUAAAAUACCAACUAUAAGCACAAUCUUGAUUGAUCCUGUGGAGCAAACUUUUGAAGCUUACAAUAAUAAAAUCGCGGCUGAAAUGCACCUGA